GAUCUGUUAUCUGCUCGUCUCCACAUCGUAAUAUGGCGGCACCCACCAUACUACAGCUCCCCCGGCGGCACCGGGAGAUGAGAGGAAAGCGGAGGAGGCGCUCAGCUGCAUCACCUGCAACCUGCGCUCAGCGACGAGAUUAAUUUCCUCCGUGGGGCAGAGAGGACGGUAGCGGAGGCGGUGCUCGCUCCCUCCCGGUUCCCCCACGACCUGAGCGACUGAUGCGACCUCCUUCCCACUCGUUCAGAUCCCUCCCCUGCAACUUGGUUUGGACGGAUUGCAUCUCUCUCUCUCUCUCUCUCUCUCUCUCUCUCCCCUAUUCCUCUUUUCCCCAAAUUUCUCUCUAUUUUCUACCUUCCUGAGAUUCAUACCGGAGCAUCCUGUCAGCGGCACCCACGACCUUGCCCAGCCGCCGCUGCAUCAAACACUUCCGGCUCCAGCGCAGCCGCGCCUCCAACGUGUGUGCUGACUUCCUCGGAGACAAGAGCUUUACUCUUUACUCUUUAUUAUUAUUAUUAUUAUUAUUAUUAUUAUUAUUAUUAUUAUUAUUAUUAUUAUUAUUAUUAUUAUUAUUAUUAUUGUUCGUUCCUUUACAGAUUUUGCAAGUUUUCCCUUUCAUCGCACAAUCAGUUGAUCUCAGUCAGUAACAUGCUUGUUGGUUGUCCACACAGUUUGUCAAUAUAAGCCUUCUUAAAUUUUUUGAAAGUUCACUGGUCAGAGGCUUUUCACUGACUAAUUAGGUUAGGAACAGCAAGGUACAGAAAUUACUAAAUGGAGUUAGAUUCAGCCAGUGCCCACUGCCUAGUGUUUAUUGAUCAAUUAAUCUACCACCUCCUCUUUGUGACCUCUUGUUUGCUAUUCACAUUCACCCAUAUGGUCACUUACUCACAAAUCUGCCAGCAGCUGAUCUCCCAAAAUAACUGGUGCAUACUAUACUAGCUAGUUAAAGAAGAAUACUUUUGUUGGCAUUGACCACUCUGAUGAUCUCAUUAGUACAUUCCUUGUUGAGGAUCUCGAUUCAUAUAUGAUUCUUGUUGAUAACUUCUAUCAACUUUUUGCUGACAUCAUAGUAAUUUUUAAAAUUUUCAGGUUCAGCAGAGUACUUACUUGCUAGGCUAACAUUUUGCUGAAUUUUCAGGCUCACUAGAGCAGCACAAACGAUUUUCUUUUUAUCGGUACUGGAUCAGAUAGCUGUCACUUUGAUUUUCAUACAUAAGUACAUACUUUUGUGAUCUUUUUCCCAUGUACAAUUCAACAUAUCUAGUUAGAACUUAAUUACAAGGACGUGUCUUACACAUAUGUAUGUCAUCAUUAAUUAAAACCUGUAUGUUCUGUCUCUGAUGAUAUGCACUGGAGACAUAUACCGAUCACAUAGGACAUUGAUUUUGAUUUUUACUUACAUGCCUUAUGAUAUUUCAUUUUGGUAGAUACCAUGUGGGAUAAUAUCAAUUUGGAAACGACAUUUUUUUUCCGAGAUAUCAUUCUACAAAUAUCAUUUGUGUUGUGGCUGGGAGAUUCACCUCCUUCAAUAUAUAACUAAAUUCCAUAUAGGCAUAGGAUGGUGAAAGCCACAGCUUCCCCUCAAUCCCUUAUAAUGGUUGAUCCUACUGCACACAGUUCUUCAGGCUGCUGUCAUCAAGUAAUGCUGGGUUGUGUAAUAGAACAGUGGAAAAUGUAUCUAGUAUAUGAUCCAAAUGUACUAUGAGGAAAAUGUUUGUUGUAUAUAUAAGUAUAUACAUGUAUUUUGCGUCCAAGAUGUGUAUCGGAGCUUAGACGGUUGUCAGCCAUUUUUCUAGUCUAGGGAUGAUAUGUGUAAUUUUUGUGGCAAUCCCUACGUGUGGGUAGAGAUUGAACUGGAGAGAUAUUUUCAAAGUUUGCAUUGAUUCCACGGGGGUGCUGAUUACAUGAGAAUAGAGAUGAUCAAAUAUAUCUUUCUCAUUUCAUCA